CCUACGGGUGGCUGCAGUCGAGAAUCAUUCACAAUGGGGGAAACCCUGAUGGUGCGACGCCGCGUGGGGGAAUGAAGGUCUUUGGAUUGUAAACCCCUGUCAUGUGGGAGCAAAUCAAAAAGAUAGUACCACAAGUGGAAGAGACGGCUAACUCGGUGCCAGCAGCCGCGGUAAUACAGAGGUCUCAAGCGUUGUUCGGAAUCACUGGGCGUAAAGCGUGCGUAGGCGGUUUCGUAAGUCGGGUGUGAAAGGUGCGGGCUGAACCCCCGGACGGCACAUGAUACUGGGGGACUAGAGUAAUGGAGGGGGAGGCGGAAUGCUCGGUGUAGCAGUGAAAUGCGUAGAUAUCGAGAGGAACACUCGUGGCGAAGGCGGGUUCCUAGACAUUGACUGACGCUGAGGCACGAAGGCCAGGGGAGCGAAAGGGAUUAGAUACCCUUGUAGUC
rnacentral:rRNA from 1 species